rnacentral:rRNA from 1 species
CCUACGGGAGGCAGCAGUGAGGAAUAUUGGUCAAUGGGCUUACGCCUGAACCAGCCAAGUCGCGUGAGGGAAGACUGCCCUAUGGGUUGUAAACCUCUUUUGUCAGGGAGCAACGCCGGCUACGUGUAGCCGGACUGAGAGUACCUGAAGAAAAAGCAUCCGCUAACUCCGGGCCAGCAGACGCGGGAAUACGGGGGAUGCGAGCGUUAUCCGGAUUUAUUGGGUUUAAAGGGGGCGUAGGCGGAAUGCCAAGUCAGCGGUAACAUCGCGGGGCUCAACCUCGCUACGCCGUUGAAACUGGCGUGCUUGAGUGCGCGAGAAGUAUGCGGAAUGCGUGGUGUAGCGGUGAAAUGCAUAGAUAUCACGCAGAACUCCGAUUGCGAAGGCAGCAUACCGGCGCCCAACUGACGCUGAAGCACGAAAGCGUGGGUAUCGAACAGGAUUAGAUACCCCUGUAGUC